GACGAACGCUGGCGGCGUGCCUAAUACAUGCAAGUCGAACGCUGAAGAGAGGAGCUUGCUCUUCUUGGAUGAGUUGCGCACGGGUGAGUAACGCGUAGGUAACCUGCCUUGUAGCGGGGGAUAACUAUUGGAAACGAUAGCUAAUACCGCAUAACAAUGGAUGACACAUGUCAUUUAUUUGAAAGGGGCAAUUGCUCCACUACAAGACGGACCUGCGUUGUAUUAGCUAGUAGGUGAGGUAAUGGCUCACCUAGGGGACGAUACAGAGCCGACCUGAGAGGGUGAUCGGCCACACUGGGACGGAGACACGGCCCAGACUCCUACGGGAGGCAGCAGUAGGGAAACUUCGGCAAUGGGGGCAACCCUGACCGAGCAACGCCGCGGGAGUGAAGAAGGUUUUCGGAUCGUAAAGCUCGGUUGUAAGUCAAGAACGGGUGUGAGAGUGGAAAGUUCACACUGUGACGGUAGCUUACCAGAAAGGGACGGCUAACUACGUG
rnacentral:rRNA from 1 species